rnacentral:rRNA from 1 species
CACGUAGUUAGCCGGGGCUUCUUGGUCAGGUACCGUCAUUUCUUUCUUCCCUGCUAACAGAGCUUUACAUACCGAAAUACUUCUUCACUCACGCGGCGUCGCUGGAUCAGGGUUCCCCCCAUUGUCCAAUAUCCCCCACUGCUGCCUCCCGUAGGAGUUUGGGCCGUGUCUCAGUCCCAAUGUGGCCGUCCACCCUCUCAGGCCGGCUACUGAUCGUCGCCUUGGUGGGCCGUUACCCCGCCAACAAGCUAAUCAGACGCGGGUCCAUCUUACACCACCGGAGUUUUUCACACAAAUCCAUGCGGCUUCGUGCGCUUAUGCGGUAUUAGCACCUAUUUCUAAGUGUUAUCCCCCAGUGUAAGGCAGGUUACCCACGCGUUACUCACCCGUCCGCCACUAAGAUUUUACAUGAUUUGACCGAAAUCGCCUCUGCGUAUAAUCUCCGUUCGACUUGCAUGUGUUAAGCACGCCGCCAGCGUUCAUCCUGAGCCAGGACUCAAACUCU